CCUACGGGAGGCAGCAGUAGGGAAUAUUGCUCAAUGCGGGAAACACUGACGCAGCAACGCCGCGUGGAGGACGAAGGUCUUCGGAUUGUAAACUUCUUUUGUGAGAGAAGAAAAUGACGGUAUCUCACUGAUAAGCACCUGCUAACACCGUGCCAGCCGCCGCCGUAAUACGGCGGGUGCAAGCGUUACUCGGUAUGACUGGGCGUAAAGAGUGCGCAGGCGGUGUUGUAAGUCAGAUGUGAAAUACUGGAGCUUAACUACAGGACGGCAAUUGAAACUAUGAGUCUAGAGUGUGAGAGAGGAAUGUGGAAUUCUUGGUGUAGGGGUGAAAUGCGUAGAUAUCAAGAGGAAUACUGAUAGCGAAGGCGGCCAACUGG
rnacentral:rRNA from 1 species